rnacentral:rRNA from 1 species
AGAGUUUGAUCAUGGCUCAGAAUGAACGCUGGCGGCGUGCUUAACACAUGCAAGUCGAACGAUGAAGCCUUUUCUAUCAUUUAUGGUAGGCUAGGUGGAUUAGUGGCGCACGGGUGAGUAAUAUAUAGUUAACGUGCCCCCGAGACCGGGAUAGCCAUUGGAAACGAUGAUUAAUACCGGAUACUCCUUCUCAAUAUAAUUUGAGUCGGGAAAGUUUUUCGCUCGGGGAUCGGACUAUAUCGCAUCAGUUAGUUGGUGGGGUAAUGGCCUACCAAGACAAUGACGCGUAGCGGGUUUGAGAGGAUGAUCCGCCACACUGGUACUGAGACACGGACCAGACUCCUACGGGAGGCAGCAGUGAGGAAUAUUGCACAAUGGGGGGAACCCUGAUACAGCAACGCCGCGUGGAGGAUGACGCAUUUCGGUGUGUAAACUCCUUUUAUAUGUCAAGAAAAUGACGGUAGCAUAUGAAUAAGCACCGGCUAACUCCGUGCCAGCAGCCGCGGUAAUACGGAGGGUGCAAGCGUUAUUCGGAAUCACUGGGCGUAAAGGACGCGUAGGCGGGUUAUCAAGUCAGGUGUGAAAUCCUACAGCUUAACUGUAGAACUGCAUUUGAAACUGGUAGCCUAGAGUAUGGAAGGGGCAGAUGGAAUUAGUGGUGUAGGGGUAAAAUCCGUAGAUAUCACUAGGAAUACCGAAAGCGAAGGCGAUCUGCUGGGACAUUACUGACGCUAAGGCGUGAAAGCGUGGGGAGCAAACGGGAUUAGAUACCCCGGUAGUCCACGCC